CCCUUUUUAAAUUGGCAACUUGAAGACCCUUCUGGCUCAUUUUUCUCAAACGAAAACUUCAUUCUCAGCACAACAAACCCUUCACUAUGUUUUGAGAAGAAAUCAAAAAAUGACGGUUAGUCGAGUUUUUCUCAAAUAAGUCCUACGCCCAUCUCAAAUUCUGUUGUUCUUCUUAACAUCUUGAGGUAAUAUUUCUCGAAUUCUGUUUUUUACAUCUCAAAAAAUGAUGGUGAACCGGCUUUGUUGUUCUUAUUUUUAUUUCUAACAUAGAUAUGGAAUGAAACCUUUAUUUAGCUUUGCACAGUUAGCUAUUUGAACUGUAAGUUUUUGAUUUGAAGUUUUUUUCUCAUCUUUGAUUCCAAUGCCAUCUUGCUCAUUGAUUUGAAUUAUUUGGACAGUAAAUAAUUUUUAGGUCUUUUAAAAAUUUUGCUCAAAUUUUUCUUUGUUUCUAAACUUUGAUUCCAUUAUUAUCUCGCUUAUAGGUUUGAAUUCUUUGAAUAGGAAAUGAUUUUUGAGUCUUUUGUAGAUUUUGCUAAAUUCGUCCCCAUUCUUCUUCAACUUUCUUGAUGUAUAUAAAAAAAGGUGCAUUUUCUUGAGUUUUUUUACAAAAGAAGAUUGAAAAUGUCAGCAAGUAUAAGCAAAGAUGAAUUGGCCAAGUCUUUAAGAAUGAGUUUUGGAUCAGCAAGUGAAAGAACCUGGACUUCAGCAGGUGUUAGGGAAGUUUUUACUACACCAGGAGGUGAUGUUUUUCAGGGAAAUGUUAGGGAAAACGACAACGAAGAUGAGCUAAAAUGGGCUGCAAUUGAGAGACUUUCAACAUAUGAAUUGCAAGGAGUUGAUGGAAAGUAUACUUAGGAUUGUGGAACAAGAUAAUGAGAAGUUUCUUCUUAGACUAAGAGAUAGGAUUGAUCGGUAAAGUAGUUUUUUCACUUUCCGUUGGUGCUGUGGUCAGUUUGUGCAAAUCUGGACUAUUUUAUCAUGUACUUGUCCAUUGAGGUUCAGACAAAUGGGAAGAAAUCAGCUAUUUAUCCUAAUGAUAUAACAUCCUUAGUGCAAGUUAUGUGUAUUUCAAUAGGAGUCUUGAUGGUUUUUCUUCUUCUGUUUUUUUGCAUGAUAUAGGGUUGGGAUUGAUAUUCCGAAAAUUGAAGUUCGAUUGUAGCAUCUUUCGAUUGAAGGAGAUGCAUAUGUUGGAUCUAGAGCACUACCUACACUGUGGAAUGCAACUAUCAUCUUUGUACUUAAGUUCUAUGUUGUUUAAUUUCGCUAUGCGAAGUGAGGUACUUGUUCUAAUUGAACUCUUUCUUUUUUGUAUGUUUAAAUGUCAUAGGGAGCUCUUGAAAUAAUCAAGAUUGUCCCAUCGAAGAAAAGGGUCGUCAAGAUACUUCGUGAUGUAAGUGGAAUAAUAAAACCAUCAAGGAUGACACUACUUCUUGGGCCUCCCGGAGGUGGAAAACAUUGCUAAAGGCGCUUGCUGCAGUGCCCGACAAAGAUGUUGCUGGAAAAAUCAGUUAUUGUGGUCAUGAACUGUCAGAGUUUAUUCCUCAACGGACAUGUGCUUAUAUUAGUCAGCAUGAUCUUCAUCAUGGAGAGAUGACAGUCAGAGAGACGUUGGAUUUUGCUUGACGUAGUUUAGGAGUUGGAACGAGAUAUGAGCUCCUCGCAGAACUGUCAAGGCGCGAAAAGGAAUUGGGAAUCAAACCAGAUCCCGAGAUAGAUGUAUUUAUGAAAGCUACCGCAGUUGCAGGCCAAGAAUCAAGUCUAGUCACCGGCUAUGGUCCUAAGAUUCUUGGGCUGGAUACCUGUGCAGAUAUAAUGGUAGGUGAUCAGAUGAGAAGAGUUUUACUGUCCAGUUUUACUGCUCAUGAUUUCUGAAACUCUGGGAUCUUGAACAUGAGCUGGAGGACUUGCACUAGGCUCUUUGACAUGUUUUGAAACUUGAUAUCAUCCAAACUCCAUUUAAAUACUGGUUCUAGUUUGCUCUAGAAAUUUUGCGCGCAGAUGGAGUUUGAAUGCUAGAAUCAUUGCAGAUUUUUUUGUUCAGUAGUGCGAAGAUUUUAUGCAAUUUUUUAUCCUGCUGUUUGUGUAUUUUUAAGCAUAUUCAGUUAAAAUUUUGGUGUUGUUUAUGUAGUUCACUGCAAACUUUGUUUGGUUCUUUAGUGCAACUUGUUUAGUCAACUAUUAGCUGUGGCUUAAUAUGUAUAUUUUGUGAAAAGUUAAUUAUUUGGUGGCUGAUUAUUUGUUGUUGUUUGGAUAAAAUGGAGGCCGUCAUAGCUACUGCUCUUUCAAGAUUAUCAGAUGAUUCGGGCACCCGAAGAUCAAGAACUCGAUAUAAAUCGCAUAUACUUUGAUGUUGCGGGUGGAGCGAAAAACACGUGUGUAUGGAUUGGGCUUUCAAGCUUAAACCUUAUAUAAAGAUAUGACAUGCAAUUUUCCUGUAGUGUCCGAUCAUGUUGUCAAAGAGCGCAUCAAAAUACUUGAGAAAGAGGUAUCGUAUAUGAGAGAAAAUCAAGAGAGAGUUCUUCAAGAGCGUGUAGAGUUGGAGGUGCAGCAACGAGUAGAGCAAGAGGUUUCCCGUUUGACGCAACAAAGUGAUGAUCGAUUCAAAUCUAUGGAGGAGCAAUGGUCUCGCAUGAUGAGCGAUAUGACAUUAUCUUCUCGCUCAUUUAGUAAUCCUACUCUCCCUAAUAGGGACUCAUCUAAUGCUUAAGUGUUUAAUAUUUUGAGACUUUAGUUACUUGAAGUGUCGACUUGAACAUUGUCACACUUUUUUGGAUAGUUGUAUGCUUUAAAUUUUAAACAUUGGUAGACUUUUGCUUAUUGAA